UAAUUAAACACAAUGUCAUAACUCAAAAAUAACUAUUUUGCAUCAAUACGGAAACCGAGCACCUUUUUACAACAGAAAUGUCAAGUUUCACUGACUUCUUCACGAACAAAAACGGCAGUGAAGAAUCUGUAACCGCACAGUUAACUUUGACAGUAUUAACUGAGCGACAAAAGUUAACGCCAGUGAAA